UCGAAUGUAGUUUACUACAUGGGCGGACGGGUGAGUAACGCGUGAGCAAUCUGCCCAUAUCUGGGGGAUAACAGUUGGAAACGACUGAUAAUACCGCAUAAUAUGGUUUGAAGGCAUCUUCUUUCCAUCAAAGAUCUAUCGGAUAUGGAUGAGCUCGCGUCUGAUUAGCUUGUUGGUGAGGUAACGGCUCACCAAGGCGACGAUCAGUAGCCGACCUGAGAGGGUGAUCGGCCACAUUGGAACUGAGACACGGUCCAAACUCCUACGGGAGGCAGCAGUGGGGAAUAUUGGGCAAUGGAGGAAACUCUGACCCAGCAACGCCGCGUGAAUGAUGAAGGUCUUCGGAUUGUAAAGUUCUUUUCUAAGGGAAGAAGAAAGUGACGGUACCUUAGGAAUAAGCCUCGGCUAACUACGUGCCAGCAGCCGCGGUAAUACGUAGGAGGCAAGCGUUAUCCGGAAUGACUGGGCGUAAAGGGUGCGUAGGUGGUUUGGCAAGUUGGUAGCGUAACUCCGGGGCUCAACCUCGGCACUACUACCAAAACUGUCGGACUUGAGUGCAGGAGGGGCAACUGGAAUUCCUAGUGUAGCGGUGGAAUGCGUAGAUAUUAGGAGGAACACCAGUGGCGAAGGCGAGUUGCUGGACUGUAACUGACACUGAGGCACGAAAGCGUGGGGAGCAAACAGGAUUAGAUACCCUGGUAGUCCACGC
rnacentral:rRNA from 1 species